rnacentral:lncRNA from 1 species
AUGGGAAAUUAUCAACGGGUCCUCGCGGCGCGACCCCGACUGCGCACAGCGCGUCUCCCGGAGCGCCGGGAGCAGCCCCCGGCCCCGACCCCCGACCCGCCGGGCAGACCCCGGACCAGCACAGCACCCGAGCGGGAGGCGAGGGGGCCGAGAGGGAGGGAGGCAGGGCGGGCGGGCCAACCCCUCCCACGCUUUGCUCAAGGAGACCGAAAACGGACCGAUCGAGUUGGGGAAGGGGGCGGGGAUCGGGGGGCCCGGGAAAGGGGGGGCGGGGGGAGGGAAGGGGAGGUGGAGUACACGGGGUGGGGGGACACGGGGCGGGGAGGAGAGGGAAGAGAGAGGAGGGCGAGGGGGCGCCUGGAGUGGAGCUCCAGGGGCCAGGAGGAUUUCCUGUGCGCAGUUGGCAGAGUUGGGGCAUCCGAGGGGCGGGCUUGGACCGGGGGCGGCCCCGGGCCCGCACCACGAGGCCGGGGGCGGGAAGGGGGAAGAGAGGGGAGGGUCUGCAAAGUCUCCCCCAGCGGCACCACCCCCGCCCCUCCCCCCGCCGCUUACAAAAAUAGAGCUUUUCUUUUUCUUUCCUCGGCGGGGGGGGGGGGGGGGGUUUCCCGGUCCCGACCCCCGUGUAGGGCAGAGUCGCGGUCUCCCUUCUCCGGGCCGGGGUCCUGGGUCCGGGGUCCCGGGACGGGCCGGGGUCCUGGGUCCGGGGGUCCCGGGACGGGGGGUCCGGCCGGUAGCCCGGAACCUUCCGGAAUCGCGCUUCGCGCCUGGCCUGCGCUGUGUGAGCUCCGCCGUCCCCGGGCCGGAGGGUCGGCGCUGCCCGGGCCCGCUGGGCCCCCAGCGGGGGGAGGGGGAGGGGAAGGGGAAGGGGAGGAGGGGGCGACUCACGGGAGGGGCCGGACGCCGGGGACCCUCCCCCCCAUCCCACCCCGCCCGUCCGGAGCCCCUUCCUCAGCCGGCGCCCCAGGGGCCGGGCCGGUUUGGUUUAAUAAAUAUCUUUCCCGGGCGGAGAGCCGGAGAGAGUAG